rnacentral:rRNA from 1 species
AAAGGGAAACAGCCCAGACCACAGCUAAGGUCCCAAAUAUACGCUAAGUGGAAAACGAUGUGAGAUUGCAUAAACAACCAGGAUGUUGGCUUAGAGGCAGCCACUCGUUCAAAGAGUGCGUAAUAGCUCACUGGUCGAGUGAUCUUGCGCGGAAAAUUUAACGGGGCUAAGCGUAUAACCGAAGCUUGGGAAUGUCGAAAGACAUUGGUAGGGGAGCGUCGUGUAUGGGGUGAAGUCGCAUCGGAAGGAGCGGUGGACUGUACACGAGUGAGAAUGCCGGAAUGAGUAGCGAGAAUUAUGUGGGAAUCAUAAUGGCCGAAAAUCUAAGGUUUCCUGGGGAAGGUUCGUCCGCCCAGGGUAAGCCGGGAGCUAAGGCGAGGCCGCGAGGCGUAGUCGAUGCACAUACGGUAGAAAUUCCGUAGCCACCUCACACUAGAAAGCUGACACAUGGAGAUAGUCGAACCCGGCCGUUGGUUGCGCCGGGCGAAAGGGACCGAACUUAUAGUAG